rnacentral:rRNA from 1 species
AGUGAACGCUGGCGGUAGGCCUAACACAUGCAAGUCGAACGGCAGCACAGUAAGAGCUUGCUCUUACGGGUGGCGAGUGGCGGAAGGGUGAGGAAUACAUCGGAAUCUACUUUUUCGUGGGGGAUAACGUAGGGAAACUUACGCUAAUACCGCAUCCGACCUACGGGUGAAAGCAGGGGAUCUUCGGACCUUGCGCGAUUGAAUGAGCCGAUGUCGGAUUAGCUAGUUGGCGGGGUAAAGGCCUACCAAGGCGGCGAUCCGUAGCUGGUCUGAGAGGAUGAUCAGCCACACUGGAACGUGGACACGGUCCAGACUCCUACGGGAGGCAGCAGUGGGGAAUAUUGGACAAUGGGCGCAAGCCUGAUCCAGCCAUACCGCGUGUGUGAAGAAGGCCUUCGGGUUGUAAAGCCCUUUUGUUGGGAAAGAAAAGCAGCAGGUUAAUACCCCGCUGUUCUGACGGUACCCAAAGAAUAAGCACCGGCUAACUUCGUG